GACGAACGCUGGCGGCGUGCUUAACACAUGCAAGUCGAGCGGUAAGGCCCUUUCGGGGGUACACGAGCGGCGAACGGGUGAGUAACACGUGGGUGACCUGCCCUCAGCUCUGGGGUAAGCCUGGGAACCGGGUCUAAUACUGGAUAUGACUCCAUGACGCAUGUUGUGGGGUGGAAAGCCUUGUGCGGCUGAGGAUGGGCCCGCGGCCUAUCAGCUUGUUGGUGGGGUGAUGGCCUACCAAGGCGACGACGGGUAGCCGGCCUGAGAGGGCGACCGGCCACACUGGGACUGAGACACGGCCCAGACUCCUACGGGAGGCAGCAGUGGGGAAUCUUGCGCAAUGGGCGAAAGCCUGACGCAGCGACGCCGCGUGAGGGAUGAC
rnacentral:rRNA from 1 species